rnacentral:rRNA from 3 species
UGGGGAAUUUUGGACAAUGGGGGCAACCCUGAUCCAGCAAUGCCGCGUGAGUGAAGAAGGCCUUCGGGUUGUAAAGCUCUUUUGUCAGGGAAGAAACACCGGCUCUAACACAGUCCGGGAAUGACGGUACCUGAAGAAUAAGCACCGGCUAACUACGUGCCAGCAGCCGCGGUAAUACGUAGGGUGCAAGCGUUAAUCGGAAUUACUGGGCGUAAAGCGUGCGCAGGCGGUUAUACAAGACAGGCGUGAAAUCCCCGGGCUUAACCUGGGAAUGGCGCCUGUGACUGUAUAGCUAGAGUGUGUCAGAGGGGGGUAGAAUUCCACGUGUAGCAGUGAAAUGCGUAGAUAUGUGGAGGAAUACCAAUGGCGAAGGCAGCCCCCUGGGAUAACACUGACGCUCAUGCACGAAAGCGUGGGGAGCAAACAGGAUUAGAUACCCUGGUAGUCCACGCCCUAAACGAUGCUGACUAGUUGUUCGGGAUUUACAUCCUGAGUAACGUAGCUAACGCGUGAAGUCAGCCGCCUGGGGAGUACGGUCGCAAGAUUA